rnacentral:rRNA from 1 species
UAGGGAAUCUUCGGCAAUGGACGAAAGUCUGACCGAGCAACGCCGCGUGAGUAGAAGAAGGUUUUCGGAUCGUAAAACUCUGUUGUUAGAGAAGAACAAGUGGGAGAGUAACUGUUCCCACCUUGACGGUAUCUAACCAGAAAGCCACGGCUAACUACGUGCCAGCAGCCGCGGUAAUACGUAGGUGGCAAGCGUUGUCCGGAUUUAUUGGGCGUAAAGCGAGCGCAGGCGGUUUCUUAAGUCUGAUGUGAAAGCCCUCGGCUCAACCGAGGAAGGUCAUUGGAAACUGGGGAACUUGAAUGCAGAAGAGGAGAGUGGAAUUCCAUGUGUAGCGGUGAAAUUGCGUAGAUAUAUGGAGGAACACCAGUGGCGAAAGGCGACUCUCUGGUCUGUAAAUUUGACGCUGAGGCUCGAAAAGCGUGGGGAGCAAAAC